rnacentral:rRNA from 1 species
UACGUAGGGGGCUAGCGUUAUCCGGAUUUAUUGGGUUUAAAGGGUGCGUAGGCGGACUGUCAAGUCAGCGGUAAAAUUGAGAGGCUCAACCUCUUCCCGCCGUUGAAACUGGUGGUCUUGAGUGGAUGAGAAGUACGCGGAAUGCGUGGUGUAGCGGUGAAAUGCAUAGAUAUCACGCAGAACUCCGAUUGCGAAGGCAGCGUACCGGCAUCCAACUGACGCUGAGGCACGAAAGCGUGGGGAUCAAACAGG